GAAGAGCAGAGCAAAGGGAAGGAGAAGGGACCUGCCGAAAGCCUCCUCCAAAAUGCCCAGAGCAAAGCAGAUGGUGUCAUGCUGGUGACGUGGCUGCCUCAGUGUGGGCAAGCAUGCCCUGGAAAUGCCGGUUGCAUCGAUGCAUGAGCAUUUCCCUGGAUGCCAUCCUGUCGCUAGUCAAUCCAGCACACCAUCGUCUACCGUGUAUUAUGUACCGACCAGUCAAUCCAGCACACCAUGGUCGAUCUACUUGUCAUCUCUGCACUCUAACACCAGCAAUGCAGACGAGGGCUUCGCUCUCACUUCUGGCCCUGCUCUUGAUGUCUGCACUGGUGCCCAUCCAUUCCCUUCCACAUCCUCAUUCUCUGUCCUGAGACAAAAAAUCAUGGAGUCAAGGACCUCACGUCCUUCCUUCCAGUUCUAGACCCUUCACAGACAGGGGAUCGGCCACAGCACUGGGCCCACGAGACCCACAUGUGACAAGGCAGCUGGGACCUUCCCAGACCGCUCUGAGUCCUGGAACCAGCUACACACCCAAGGACAACUUGGAAUUCUUGAUAGUCCCACCUUGGCCUUUUACACAGCUGAGAUUAUCAACAUGGGUCACCACACCCGGUCCCUGUACUGUUCUGUUUUUACAUAGGGUAUCAUGUAUGCUAGGCAGCCCUGAACUCUGGAGACUCCUGUCUCUGCCUGCUGAGAUGGCAAGCCUGUGCUAACAUAGCUGCUAUCUUAUAAAGACAUUUAAAGGAAGCCCUGUCCCUUGGGGCUCUACUUGAAGAGAGGUGCCUGGUGUGGACCGGCCCUGACUUCUGGAAGAUCAGCCUUCCUGUAUCCCUGAUCUCUGUGUGUGUCCAGAACUGCUGCAGCUCCAAGAGGAAGGCUGCCUUCCCUAUCUGUAUGCAUUCUGGCUACCAUGCUGUAUGAUUCCUGUAAGUCUGGGUGUCCAAUCUGUAGACUGCACACAUUCUUCAGGAACAAUAAACACCACUGUGGUGAAGCUUAA